rnacentral:rRNA from 1 species
AUUGAACGCUGGCGGCAGGCAUAACACAAGCAAGUCGGGCGAGCGGAGGACGGGUGAGUAAUGUAUGGGGAUCUGCCUGAUGGAGGGGGAUAACUACUGGAAACGGUAGCUAAUACCGCAUACCAUCAGAUGAACCCAUAUGGGAUUAGCUGGUAGGGGAGGGAACGGCUCACCUAGGCGACGAGCCCUAGCUGGUCUGAGAGGAUGAGCAGCCACACUGGGACUGAGACACGUCCCAGACUCCUACGGGAGGCAGCAGUGGGGAAUAUUGCACAAUGGGCGCAAGCCUGAUGCAGCCAUGCCGCGUGUAUGAAGAAGGCCUUCGGGUUGUAAAGUACUUUCAGUCGGGAGGCGUUACCGACAGAAGAAGCACCGGCUAACUCCGUGCCAGCAGCCGCGGUAAUUC